rnacentral:rRNA from 1 species
AACGAACGCUGGCGGCAUGCCUAACACAUGCAAGUCGAACGAGACCUUCGGGUCUAGUGGCGCACGGGUGCGUAACGCGUGGGAACCUGCCCUUAGGUUCGGAAUAACUCCCCGAAAGGGGUGCUAAUACCGGAUAAUGUCUUCGGACCAAAGAUUUAUCGCCUUUGGAUGGGCCCGCGUUGGAUUAGCUAGUUGGUAGGGUAAAAGCCUACCAAGGCGACGAUCCAUAGCUGGUCUGAGAGGAUGAUCAGCCACACUGGGACUGAGACACGGCCCAGACUCCUACGGGAGGCAGCAGUGCGGAAUAUUGGACAAUGGGCGAAAGCCUGAUCCAGCAAGGCCGCGUGAGUGAUGAAGGCCUUAGGGUUGUAAAGCUCUUGUACCCGGGAUGAUAAUGACAGUACCGGGAGAAUAAGCUCCGGCUAACUCCGUG